rnacentral:misc_RNA from 1 species
GUCAUUAUUUCCGAAUUAUAUAGUAUUUGUCAAACAAAACAAGCGCGAAUGAUAACAAAAAGCAAAUAAAUUUGCUUUCCAUUCUUUUGGCAAUGAUCCUUCCGCAGGUUCACCUACGGAAA